GACGAACGCUGGCGGCGUGCCUAAUACAUGCAAGUCGAGCGGACUUUCAAGAAGCUUGCUUUUUGAAAGUUAGCGGCGGACGGGUGAGUAACACGUGGGCAACCUGCCUGCAAGACGGGGAUAACUCCGGGAAACCGGGGCUAAUACCGGAUAAUAUCUUCCUUCGCAUGAAGGAAGGUUGAAAGGCGGCGCAAGCUGCCGCUUGCAGAUGGGCCCGCGGCGCAUUAGCUAGUUGGUGAGGUAACGGCUCACCAAGGCGACGAUGCGUAGCCGACCUGAGAGGGUGAUCGGCCACACUGGGACUGAGACACGGCCCAGACUCCUACGGGAGGCAGCAGUAGGGAAUCUUCCGCAAUGGACGAAAGGCUGACGGAGCAACGCCGCGUGAGCGAAGAAGGUCGUCGGAUCGUAAAGCUCUGUUGUCAGGGAAGAACAAGUACCGUUCGAACAGGGCGGUACCUUGACGGUACCUGACCAGAAAGCCACGGCUAACUACGUG
rnacentral:rRNA from 1 species